UCUGGUAGAACUGGCAGCUAAGAGCAUCCAGCAGGAGUUGCAGCUCAGGAGGAGCCAGGAGGAUGCCUGGAACAACAGUGCCUUCGACUUGGUCAGAGCCUCAGGUGCCCACUGUCACUAUGUUGUUGUGAAGCUCUUCACUGACAAGCUGCUUAAUAUCAGUGACACCGGUGUGCACUCAGUGAUAACCACCCUGGCCCUGCUCUAUGCCCUGCAGGGCGUCACAAAGAACUGUGGAGACUUCCUUCAGGUCUACGAGUCCUUCUACAAGUACCUGAAGCCCCUGCACUCCAAACUGUGAACUGACCAUUGCACCUUAAUACCUGGCUGUGACCCUUCAACUCUGCUUAUAUAGACUCCACCUUAACAGCUUUUACCAUUCCUAUGAUGGUCUUCAUUCACCAUCAUCUUGUGGUCAAACCUAACAUCACAAUCAGCCACUCUACAGUUCUCAGUGUAAUGGGGUGAUUGCAGGUUAGUUCUGAUCAAAAUCAGUACUGGUAGACUCGAUUUUUCCUAACAAAUACAGGAUUUGUCUACCAAUGUUACAUAAUACUGGAGCAUUUUAUCUUAGGAACAGACUAAGCUCAAAAUCGUGUUGUUCCCCCUGACUACAAGGACCGACAUGUUAUCUGAAAAGACACUGUGCUGUUUUUCGUAACUUUCAAUAAAAAGGCAUUCAUUUUACUGAUGAUAAUUGAUGCUAGCACAAAGAAGGCUCACACUGCUCCUGCAAUUUAUAUUUGUGGAACUGUAAAGAUGAAUUUGGAAUAAAUAUGUGCCUUACUAUGUUUUCUUUAUCAUACCAAUGUAAAGUCUUAUUU